rnacentral:rRNA from 1 species
UGAAACUCAAAGGAAUUGACGGGGACCCGCACAAGCAGUGGAGUAUGUGGUUUAAUUCGAAGCAACGCGAAGAACCUUACCAGGUCUUGACAUCCCCCUGACCGCAUCAGAGAUGGUGCUUUCCUUCGGGACAGGGGAGACAGGUGGUGCAUGGUUGUCGUCAGCUCGUGUCGUGAGAUGUUGGGUUAAGUCCCGCAACGAGCGCAACCCUUGAUGUUAGUUGCCAGCAGGUGAGGCUGGGCACUCUAAGAUGACUGCCGGUGACAAACCGGAGGAAGGUGGGGAUGACGUCAAAUCAUCAUGCCCCUUAUGACCUGGGCUACACACGUACUACAAUGGCCGGUACAACGGGAAGCGAAGGAGCGAUCUGGAGCCAAUCCCAGCAAAGCCGGUCUCAGUUCGGAUUGCAGGCUGCAACUCGCCUGCAUGAAGUCGGAAUUGCUAGUAAUCGCGGUUCAGCAUGCCGCGGUGAAUACGUUCCCGGGUCUUGUACACACCGCCCGUCACACCACGAGAGUUUACAACACCCGAAGCCGGUGGGGUAACCGCAAGGGGCCAGCCGUCGAAGGUGGGGUAGAUGAUUGGGGUGAAGUCGUA